rnacentral:rRNA from 1 species
AUUGAACGCUGGCGGCAUGCCUAACACAUGCAAGUCGAGCGGAUGAAGGGGGCUUUCUCCUGGAUUCAGCGGCGGACGGGUGAGUAAUGCCUAGGAAUCUGCCUGGUAUUUGGGGCUAACGUCCGGAAACGGGCGCUAAUACCGCAUACGUCCUGAUGUAGAAAGUGGUGGAUCUUCGGACCUCACGCUAUCUGCUGACCCUAAGUCGGAGUUGCUAGUUGGUUGGGUAAAGGCCUACCGAGGCGACUAUCCGUAACCGGUCUGAGAGGGUGAUCAGUCACACUGGAAAUGAGACAAGGGCCAGACUCCUACGGGAGGCAACAGGAGGGAAUAUUGCGCAAUGGGCGAAAGCCUGAAGCAGCAACGCCGCGUGUGUGAAAAAAGUCUUCGGGUUGUAAAACCCUUUUAUUGGGGAAGAAAGAGAGUGUAGGUAACUAUGCGCGGUUUGACGGUACCUAACAAGAAAGCCACGGCUAACUUCGUG